rnacentral:rRNA from 1 species
UUAAGAAUCUUGCACAAUGGGCGCAAGCCUGAUGCAGCGACGCCGCGUGAAUGAUGAAGGCUUUAGGGUUGUAAAGUUCAGUAAGCAGGGAAGAAUAAGCGCCGGGUAAUAUUCGGUGUGAUGACGGUACCUGCCUAAAGCCCCGGCUAACUACGUGCCAGCAGCCGCGGUAAUACGUAUGGGGCGAGCGUUGUUCGGAAUUAUUGGGCGUAAAGGGCGUCUAGGCGGGGAUUUAAGUUAGGUGUGAAAGCUAUGGGCUCAACCCAUAAACUGCAUCUAAAACUGGAUCUCUUGAGUUCGGGAGAGGAGAGCGGAAUUCCAGGUGUAGCGGUGAAAUGCGUAGAUAUCUGGAAGAACACCAGUGGCGAAGGCGGCUCUCUGGCCUAGAACUGACGCUGAAGCGCGAAAGCGUGGGGAGCGAACAGG